rnacentral:lncRNA from 1 species
AAAACCCAAAAUUUCCCUCUUAAAAAAGCACCAUACACACAUUCUUCAACCUCUUCCCAUAAACCCUAGAAAUUGGGAGGAAAGGGUUUAUGCAAAAAUGAUAUAAAGUUUCUUCCACAACAAGUAUCAAUCAAAUAACCAUGAAGUUCCUCAGAACAAUCUUCAUCCACCAUAUCCACAAACGCCACCAUUUCCUCAACCCCAAAUGCGU